rnacentral:rRNA from 1 species
GAUCCUGGCUCAGGAUGGACGCUGGCGGCGUGCCUAAUACAUGCAAGUAGAACGCUGAAGCUUGGUGCUUGCACCGAGCGGAUGAGUUGCGAACGGGUGAGUAACGCGUAGGUAACCUGCCUGGUAGCGGGGGAUAACUAUUGGAAACGAUAGCUAAUACCGCAUAACAGUCGACAUUGCAUGAUGUUGAUUUGAAAGGGGCAAUUGCUCCACUACCAGAUGG